GCAAAAGCUCAAAUUUGAAACCUUCGGGAUUGUAAUUUGAAGAUUAGGCAUUGGAGAAAGCUAACCCAAGUUGCUUGGAAUAGUACGUCAUAGAGGGUGACAACCCCGUCUGGCUAACCGUUCUCCAUGUAUUGCCUUAUCAAAGAGUCGAGUUGUUUGGGAAUGCAGCUCAAAGUGGGUGGUAAACUCCAUCUAAAGCUAAAUACUGGUGAGAGACCGAUAGCGAACAAGUACUGUGAAGGAAAGGUGAAAAGAACUUUGAAAAGAGAGUGAAAUAGUAUGUGAAAUUGUUGAUAGGGAAGGAAAUGAGUGGAGAGUGGUUGAGGUUUCAGCUUGCCUUUGGGCAGGUGUAUUGCCAACGCCGAGUCAUUGACAGCGAGACGGCGGUU
rnacentral:rRNA from 1 species